ACUGGAGUGGGUUGCCAUUUCCUUCUGCAGGGGAUCUUCUCAACCCAGGGAUCGAACCUGGGUCCCCCGCAUUGCGUGCGGAUUGUUUACCAUCUGAGCCAUAGCCUGGGUAGAGGAAGGGGAGGUAAACAGUACUUGAGGCUGAAGGGUGUCUCAGCUCACAGGAUAAAAAUCCCUUUUUUCUCGGCCCCAGUUUGCUCACCUGUAGACAACCACAUUUCCGAGGUUCCCGCCAGCCUUGACAUUCUGGGAUCCUGCUCGGGAUCGGGGUGUGGGGCGGAUGAACUGACUGUCCUCACUCCAGAGAUGCUCCAGGGCCCACUUCCUGGAUCUUUUAGCUGUCACCCCUCUGAGGGCUUACCUGUGGCUCAGGCGGUAAAGAAUCUGCUUGCCAUGCGGGGAAACCCAGGUUUGACCCCUGGGUCUGGGAGAUCCCCUGGAGAAGGAAAUGGCAAUCCACUCCAGUAUUCUCGCCUAGAGAAUCCCAUGGACAGAGGAUCCUAGUGGGCUACAGUUGGUGGGGUUGUGAAGAGUCCGACAUGACUGACACUUUCACUUUUCCUCUGAUGAGCUCAGGGAGAUCAUGACCCCAUUCGCAUCCCCUUCCUAAGCUAAGGUCAGUGACGUCGUCUGGGGAGGUGAUUUCCACUCCAGUCCGGGCCCUUGGCUUCCUUCUGUCAGCAGUUUUGCCUCUAGCUGUGUGAGGGUCCCGUAAAGCUCUUCUAGGUCUCAGCUCUGAUUCCUGUCAGGAUGUAUUUGGGUGCCUGCUCACGCUUUUAUGCAAGUCACCAGGGUGUUCCUACUAUUGCUGCAAGAGGGGGGUCUGUGUCAUAGAGGAUUUGGGGCUAGUGUCUCAGCCUCUGGUUUUUUUUACCGAACUUGCAAGCCCGUGUGCUGGACACACAGUGAGGCCCAUCAAUACCAAACAUUAGAGUUUGGAACAGAGAAAGGCUUAUUACAGAUUUGUACAAGGAGAUGGGUGGCUCCUGCCCUGAGAACCCCAAAGUUACUGAAAGCUUUCAGCAAGUCUCUUUAAAAGCAAAAAGUGAGGGAUGGGUGUGGUUAGUUGCAGACUUAGUGUCAGAUCUUUUGUUCUUGAGAGCUGGUCAUGGUCAGGUAACAUUCCUAUAAAUCUCUACCAGAUGAAUGCUAUUCUCUGUUCUGACAAGAAAGGGCAAAACUCAAGGUACAAUUUUCACCCUCCCAGGUCCCAGACCUGACUAAGAGAAGGCAGAUCUCAGUUGGCAGCUCCUUCAGGGCCAGGUUCCACACCCUGCCCAGCUGUCUGAGGGAGCCAGGCAUUCAACCCAACUGGCCCCCAGUCUCCUCAGGCGGCCCAAAGGGGGAGACCAGGUCUCAAAGACUAUGACCAGACAGGUGGUCACUGCUAUUAGGUCACAGAGGGGAGAGGUUCACCGCUGCCUCAAGGCCUGGAACGAGGCUGAUGGAGGGCCUUGGUAAGGGCUCUGGAGCCCCUCAGGACACAGCCCCCAGUCUGUUCCCUGAGCCCUCCUGCUCACCCUCUGGCCCAACAAGGAUGGGUAAGCUGAAGGGCCUCCGGGAGAAGGCCUGAAUCGCCCUCUUAGCUCACUCCCCACCUGAUGGGCACCACAGCACUGACCCUUGACUGAAUCACUUCCCCAGUGGUCCCUCACCGACAGUUACCAGUGGGCAGGUAACCAAUAGCUGAGCAGGACAGCUAAUGGUGUGGCUCACUGCCGGUUGGAUGCUUGUGGGCGGGGCCCACUGAGGCACCACGCAAUGGCUGAGCAAGACCUGUUGCCUAGUAACAGGGUGCAGAGUAAUGAGGCCCAGCAAGGGCUGCCUGCCAAGGGCCGUGCUCAUCCUGCUCUGUUAGUUUGACUGAGCCCAUCCCUGGCCAGUGCGACAAGGGCUAUCAAGAUUUUUGUAACAGAGCUUAGCCAUUAUUGUGUGUGCCCUUAACCUGUGCCCCGUUGCCAGGCAACGGUUAUGGUGGGCGGGGCCAUUAGUGGUCCUGCUCAGCCAUUGGUGGGGAGUCCUGCUCCCCCAUUGCUACAGUGGGCCCCUCCCACAAGCAACCAACAGCAAAUGAACCACCGACCGUUAGUGGGCCGUUCAGCCAACUGUUGGUAGAGUGGUGGUGGUCAGGUAAAGAGUGAGGCGAGCUGGGGCACCCCGGGAACAGGCUGGGGGCUGUGUCCAGCAGGGCUCCAGAGCCUUCACCAAGGCCACUGACAGGACCCAGGCCUUGAGGCAGUGCUGAACCUCACCCCCUUCCCCGCCUCUGUGAUCUAAAGGCAGCAGCAGUCUUUAUAGGAUGCCCCCGCCAUCUGGGCAGCCUGAGGACCAGCUGAGCCAUGGGCACAGUCUCCCUCAGCGAUAAUGGCAGGCAUGGUCUGGAUACCCGGCCCUGAGGGAGCCAACUGGGAUCGGCCUGUUCAGCCAGGACCUCGGACCUGAGAGGGUGAAAGCUGCCUCUGGGGACCGUGCCCUUUCUUGUCAGAACAGAGGAUAACAUUUGUUAGAGGUUUACAGAAAUACGUUUACCUGAGUGUGACCUGACUUCGGAGCACAAAGGAUCUGACACCAAGACGUUUGUAACAACUCACCUGGCCCCUCCCUCACCUUUCCUAGAAAAGGGCUUUGCUGAGGGCUUUCGGGGAGUUUGGGCUUUUUAAGGCAUGAGCCACUUGUCUCCUUGUGGGACCCUCAAUAAAAUCUUUCUCUGUUCCAAACUCUAACAUCUUGGUAUUGUUUGGCUUCACUGCGUUGAACACAUCAACUUGUGUUUCGGUAACAAUUUUUCUGUUUCUGAAGGUAAAGGAGUCACCUCCUGGUAGACACAA
rnacentral:lncRNA from 1 species